rnacentral:tRNA from 2 species
GACUCGGUAGCUCAGUUGGAUAGAGCGGCUGCCUCCUAAGCAGCAGGUCGCAGGUUCGAUUCCUGUCCGGGUCA